UGCUUGGGAAUAUGCCUUGAGGUGGGGGACAACAGUUGGAAACGACUGCUAAUACCGCAUAAUGUCUACGGACCAAAGAGGGGGAUUCUUCGGAACCUCUUGCCUUUAGAUUAGCCCAAGUGAGAUUAGCUAGUAGGUGAGGUAAUGGCUCACCUAGGCGACGAUCUCUAGCUGGUUUGAGAGGAUGAUCAGCCACACUGGGACUGAGACACGGCCCAGACUCCUACGGGAGGCAGCAGUGGGGAAUAUUGCACAAUGGGGGAAACCCUGAUGCAGCCAUGCCGCGUGUGUGAAGAAGGC
rnacentral:rRNA from 1 species